rnacentral:rRNA from 1 species
UAUCUACUCAUAAUGCCGAUAAUGGAUGCCUAGGAGAUUUUGGCCGAAGAAGGACGCAGACGACGGCGAUACUCAUCGGGGAAGUGUCAUCAACUCCUGAUCCGAUGGUUUCCGAAUGGAGAAAUCCGUCCCUUUUUAGGGACAACCUUUUGUAAACAAAGUUCCGCAAGGGAUUUAAUAGCAACUGGUAGGGCACGGGACCAACUGAAACAUCUAAGUAGUCCCAGGAAAAUAAAUCAUAUGAGAUUGCCUAAGUAGCGGCGAGCGAAAAGGCAACAGCCUAAACCUUCAAGUAAUUGAGGGGGUUGCAGGGCAGAGGAUAUUCGAUGUAUUUUAGAUAGCAGAAGAACCCGGAAUGGUUCCCCAUAGAACGUGAAAGGCGUGUAUACAAAAUCUAAAAUACCGAUACUUUGUUCCUAAGUACCAUGGAGCACGAUGAAACUCUGUGGGAAUCUGGAGUGUCCACACCCCAAGGCUAAAUACCAAAAUCUACCGAUAGUGAACUAGUACCGCGAGGGAAAGGUGAAAAGCACCCCGGAAGGGGGAUGAAAUAGAACUGAAAUUGUCGGCUGUCAAGCAGACGAAGUUGAGCGCAAGCGAAAUGACGUCGUGCCUAUUGAAGAAUGAACCGGUGAGUUAUUCUGUACUCUGUUAGUCUAAGUAACUUAGUUACGAAGGCGUAGUGAAAGCAUGGCCUAAUUGGCCGAUUAAGAGUAUGGAUUAGACCCGAAACCAGGUGAGCUAACCUUGAGCAGGGUGAAUGUUCCCGAAAGGGAACAGGAGGCCCGAACCCGUGAUCGUAGCAAUGAUCUGGGAUGACUUGAGGUUAGAGGCAAUAUGCCAAACGAACUUGGAGAUAGCUGGUUCUCCCCGAAAUAUAUUUAGGUAUAGCGCGAAAUAUAUGGUACCGUGGGGUAGAGCACUGAAUGGUUUUCGGUUUCGCAAGAGAUCACAACCAAUCAAACUCCGAAUACAC